rnacentral:rRNA from 1 species
GGUUAAGCGACUAAGCGUACACGGUGGAUGCCCUGGCAGUCAGAGGCGAUGAAGGACGUGCUAAUCUGCGAUAAGCGUCGGUAAGGUGAUAUGAACCGUUAUAACCGGCGAUUUCCGAAUGGGGAAACCCAGUGUGUUUCGACACACUAUCAUUAACUGAAUCCAUAGGUUAAUGAGGCGAACCGGGGGAACUGAAACAUCUAAGUACCCCGAGGAAAAGAAAUCAACCGAGAUUCCCCCAGUAGCGGCGAGCGAACGGGGAGCAGCCCAGAGCCUGAAUCAGUGUGUGUGUUAGUGGAAGCGUCUGGAAAGGCGCGCGAUACAGGGUGACAGCCCCGUACACAAAAAUGCACAUGCUGUGAGCUCGAUGAGUAGGGCGGGACACGUGGUAUCCUGUCUGAAUAUGGGGGGACCAUCCUCCAAGGCUAAAUACUCCUGACUGACCGAUAGUGAACCAGUACCGUGAGGGAAAGGCGAAAAGAACCCCGGCGAGGGGAGUGAAAAAGAACCUGAAACCGUGUACGUACAAGCAGUGGGAGCACGCUUAGGCGUGUGACUGCGUACCUUUUGUAUAAUGGGUCAGCGACUUAUAUUCUGUAGCAAGGUUAACCGAAUAGGGGAGCCGAAGGGAAACCGAGUCUUAACUGGGCGUUAAGUUGCAGGGUAUAGACCCGAAACCCGGUGAUCUAGCCAUGGGCAGGUUGAAGGUUGGGUAACACUAACUGGAGGACCGAACCGACUAAUGUUGAAAAAUUAGCGGAUGACUUGUGGCUGGGGGUGAAAGGCCAAUCAAACCGGGAGAUAGCUGGUUCUCCCCGAAAGCUAUUUAGGUAGCGCCUCGUGAAUUCAUCUCCGGGGGUAGAGCACUGUUUCGGCAAGGGGGUCAUCCCGACUUACCAACCCGAUGCAAACUGCGAAUACCGGAGAAUGUUAUCACGGGAGACACACGGCGGGUGCUAACGUCCGUCGUGAAGAGGGAAACAACCCAGACCGCCAGCUAAGGUCCCAAAGUCAUGGUUAAGUGGGAAACGAUGUGGGAAGGCCCAGACAGCCAGGAUGUUGGCUUAGAAGCAGCCAUCAUUUAAAGAAAGCGUAAUAGCUCACUGGUCGAGUCGGCCUGCGCGGAAGAUGUAACGGGGCUAAACCAUGCACCGAAGCUGCGGCAGCGACGCUUAUGCGUUGUUGGGUAGGGGAGCGUUCUGUAAGCCUGCGAAGGUGUGCUGUGAGGCAUGCUGGAGGUAUCAGAAGUGCGAAUGCUGACAUAAGUAACGAUAAAGCGGGUGAAAAGCCCGCUCGCCGGAAGACCAAGGGUUCCUGUCCAACGUUAAUCGGGGCAGGGUGAGUCGACCCCUAAGGCGAGGCCGAAAGGCGUAGUCGAUGGGAAACAGGUUAAUAUUCCUGUACUUGGUGUUACUGCGAAGGGGGGACGGAGAAGGCUAUGUUGGCCGGGCGACGGUUGUCCCGGUUUAAGCGUGUAGGCUGGUUUUCCAGGCAAAUCCGGAAAAUCAAGGCUGAGGCGUGAUGACGAGGCACUACGGUGCUGAAGCAACAAAUGCCCUGCUUCCAGGAAAAGCCUCUAAGCAUCAGGUAACAUCAAAUCGUACCCCAAACCGACACAGGUGGUCAGGUAGAGAAUACCAAGGCGCUUGAGAGAACUCGGGUGAAGGAACUAGGCAAAAUGGUGCCGUAACUUCGGGAGAAGGCACGCUGAUAUGUAGGUGAGGUCCCUCGCGGAUGGAGCUGAAAUCAGUCGAAGAUACCAGCUGGCUGCAACUGUUUAUUAAAAACACAGCACUGUGCAAACACGAAAGUGGACGUAUACGGUGUGACGCCUGCCCGGUGCCGGAAGGUUAAUUGAUGGGGUUAGCGCAAGCGAAGCUCUUGAUCGAAGCCCCGGUAAACGGCGGCCGUAACUAUAACGGUCCUAAGGUAGCGAAAUUCCUUGUCGGGUAAGUUCCGACCUGCACGAAUGGCGUAAUGAUGGCCAGGCUGUCUCCACCCGAGACUCAGUGAAAUUGAACUCGCUGUGAAGAUGCAGUGUACCCGCGGCAAGACGGAAAGACCCCGUGAACCUUUACUAUAGCUUGACACUGAACAUUGAGCCUUGAUGUGUAGGAUAGGUGGGAGGCUUUGAAGUGUGGACGCCAGUCUGCAUGGAGCCGACCUUGAAAUACCACCCUUUAAUGUUUGAUGUUCUAACGUUGACCCGUAAUCCGGGUUGCGGACAGUGUCUGGUGGGUAGUUUGACUGGGGCGGUCUCCUCCUAAAGAGUAACGGAGGAGCACGAAGGUUGGCUAAUCCUGGUCGGACAUCAGGAGGUUAGUGCAAUGGCAUAAGCCAGCUUGACUGCGAGCGUGACGGCGCGAGCAGGUGCGAAAGCAGGUCAUAGUGAUCCGGUGGUUCUGAAUGGAAGGGCCAUCGCUCAACGGAUAAAAGGUACUCCGGGGAUAACAGGCUGAUACCGCCCAAGAGUUCAUAUCGACGGCGGUGUUUGGCACCUCGAUGUCGGCUCAUCACAUCCUGGGGCUGAAGUAGGUCCCAAGGGUAUGGCUGUUCGCCAUUUAAAGUGGUACGCGAGCUGGGUUUAGAACGUCGUGAGACAGUUCGGUCCCUAUCUGCCGUGGGCGCUGGAGAACUGAGGGGGGCUGCUCCUAGUACGAGAGGACCGGAGUGGACGCAUCACUGGUGUUCGGGUUGUCAUGCCAAUGGCACUGCCCGGUAGCUAAAUGCGGAAGAGAUAAGUGCUGAAAGCAUCUAAGCACGAAACUUGCCCCGAGAUGAGUUCUCCCUGACUCCUUGAGAGUCCUGAAGGAACGUUGAAGACGACGACGUUGAUAGGCCGGGUGUGUAAGCGCAGCGAUGCGUUGAGCUAACCGGUACUAAUGAACCGUGAGGCUUAACCUUAC